ACAAAAUGAUGAAAAAAGGGGAACACUUUGAAUGCACGCACCAACACAGUCACACACACACAAACCUGUUUUUACAUCUUAGAGAGGGCAUACCAUAGACAUCAUGCAUUCUCUAAAAUUAACCAUCACCACAAAGUGCCUAACCCUAAACCUUACCCUAAUCCUAAAAAUGUAACCUGAACCUAAACCCUGAAAGAGCCAUUUAAAAUGUCCCCACAAGGUCAAAAUGUCCUCACAGAGAUAAGUUUCUAUGUUUUUUGUGACCUCACAAAGACAGAAAUACACUCGCUCACUCACACACACACAUACACAGGUGGCAUUAUCCCUAACCUUUACCCUAACCACUUCCUCUGCCUCAAUAGGACCAGGUUUUGGUUUCUGUGAGGACUACUGGUCCUGUGUUUAUGCCAGAAAAGGUCCCAAACGAGUGCAUGUAGGAGAUUGUUGCACACUUAGGCCUCACCCUAGCCUUGGAUUAUUAAAUAUGACUGGUGUGUACAGCAGGUUACUGUCCAGGAGAGCUGAAAGGCCGUGCAAAGAGAGCAAGGGGAAAAAGUUUGCCUUUGAUCCCCAUCUCCUCAAACCUCUGGCCCCAUGGGUCACCAGCUGUCAGACAGCCAGAGGAGGGUGCCUCCUUUCCUCCUCUGUUCUUAUCCUCUCUUCUCUCACUUUUUGUCAUUUGGGAUACAAACCGUUUUGCACCCAGGAAUCAUCUGGGGACCCCCAGCUGCUGCCGAGGCUGGGGAGGCUUCAGCCCAGUGCCUCCCGGCUCCCAUCGACUGCAAGUCCCCUGGGAGGCAGCUGACUGGCACCCAGACUGCCAGCCAGAUGAUGGAUCCUACCAGGAGAAUCAGACGUGACAGGGGGAGGUGAGGCUGCUGCAGUGGCCACCACUGAACCUGAGGACGAGGGGCAGAUGCGGUCAGCUGCCUCAGUGUGUUCACAUUCUCCAUCUGGACCUGAAGUAUUCCGUUAGCUGCCUGCUGAAUGUUACAUUUUAUUUUGAAAGCUGACAAAAUAUCAGCAGUGUUUGACUUUUAAUGUUUGUCAUGUCGGCUGCUGGACCUUCCCAAAACUGUGACAGAUGCCAAAUGACACAUGUUGAGGUUGAGAAUAUCAAAUUGAGUUAAACAUAGAUCAUCAAUUUUUAGAUAUUUUAGAUAUAUUUUAAGUUAGCUCCUCAGUAACCUUUCACAUAAUUGAUUACCAUUAAGUGGUAACUGAAUUCCAUUAAACAAAAUCUGAACAUGUUCACUGUUAAACAAAAGCAGAAGGUAAAGAGAGCAUGUUUAAAACCUUUUUAUGAGCUCGGGAUAUUGUUUUGUCAUUUCUGGCAUGACCAGCUUAAUCUUGUGAUACCAGCUGGAUGAACGCGUGUAUCUUGCCCCGCGGCAUCCUGCUGUGCCAUUGCUUCAACCAGACACUGUGAUGGUAAGUGACUGCUGUAAUUGUUCUGCUCCCAGCUCUUAUACUUCAGCCAUCCAACUGGCUCCAUCCUCUUGGUUGUGCCACAUUGCCCUCUUGGGCCUUCUUGGCAUCAGCCCCCAGUUCUUUAGCUCAGAGAUCUGAUAUACAGUGACUCUACAGUUCAAUACCAUAUCAACACCAAGAAGAUUUAAAAGCAUACACAAUUAAAAAUAAAUAGGACUCUACACUUGCUGAUGUGUUUGAUGUUGUAAAUAGAUUUCUGCAUUGCCAAAUAUAAUUUAUUAUUACAAUAUACAAACACACGUACCUCUUGUGGUAUGUUUUGUGGUAUGCAGAUGAAGGUUUUUGUAGGCACUGAUAUAACUGAUGUAAAUAGAUUUGUGUUUAUGCUUCUCAAAGCUUUUGUUUCUGUCUGUUUCCAGAAAUAAUGUUCAUUUUAUUGCUAUUUUACCUCAAUAGAAUUUGUUUCAGUGACAGCUAUUCACAUUGCGGUCUACACUUUGUACUUUGGAUAUCGCGAAACCACACGGCCAUAAAAGAUGAAUUUGGGAAAAUGUGUGUCACGCGGCCAAAUGUGUUUUAUGAUUACUGUUGAGAUAUUAAAAAAUAAAAGGUUGAAAAACAGAUAAGUAAUGUUGACAGCCGUAUAUGUGUUAAUCAUUAUGGCAGCCGUUCUUCCAUCGUCAUCUCUCUGAGAGAUUAUGCAUGCACUCAAAUGUUCUCAUUGCCUCAUGUAGCCUUGCUGACUAUGCCAACAUAGAUACACACACACACACACAUGAAAACAACAGAGAAGAGGGGAGAAAAAGAUGAGGGGAGGGUUGCUGCUCACAGUACUGUACAUCAAAUAUUAAAUUGUUUACCAUGGUAAAUAGUCUCAUCUUAGCCCAGUCUGUUUGAAGUGACAGUCGUUGCUGUGCGUAGUGGGUAAAGUGGAUCAGCCCCUCGUCGUAUAUCGAGGGGCCGUUACUACUGUAACUAAGGGAAUCAUUUACCACUCGCACUGUUGAGUCUCCGCUUCACACACUUCUCGUUUGAAAGGCACCCACUCUGCAUUAGUCAGGACUGACGUUGAUAUCUUUGCUUUGGGGUGUAAGAACAUUGGAACCCUGUUGUGGUCUCUCCCUCUACGUUUAUGUAAUAACGUGAUACAGUGAAGAGGAGGAGGAGGAAAGAGGGAAAAAAAACACACAACAGUAAUAGUACAGUGUUCGGAAAAAAAAAAAAAAAGAUGCAGUUAACAAAUGCAUCUCCCUUUACCUACAGUAUGUGAGGCAUAGAUAUACACAAACACACACAAGUGCAUACAAUAAUUCAGACACACUCAAAAAGCAACCUUGCGGGUGUGUGAGGGUGUCUGGCUUUUAUCUUGCCUAACCACCAGUAGUCAAGCCAGGAACCUUGUGAAUAAUUCAACAUAUUUACCUGCCCCUCUGGUCUGGACGUAUAAUGUUUGUAUUGCAGUGCAAGUAAAUGAAUAAAUAAAUAAAUGAAGCACUAGGUGAACAUGUGAAUGCAUGAAUAACUAAAGGAGCAGCGACGUGGCCUGUGUCACAGCCAGAGGUAUGUUGCCAUCUUCUGGUUUUGGACUCAAACUUCAGGGGAAAAAGGAAAAUGUUUUUUUUUACCUGAGACCUGAAGCACUCCAUCUUUCAUAUUUGCAGAUUGACUUUAUCUCUACACUGGCGGAACUCUCUCAACUACAACGACUGCUAAAUUAUUUAUUUUAAGUGAAUUUUGAGCCUCUUGUUAGUACGUGUGUGGUUUUAUCCCCCUGAUAAUUAUGUUUAGAUGUUCUGCAUCAACAAAUCCUAAAUAAAUAUUUUCACGUCGAAUAUGCUAACACCAUUUUUGAUCAUUCAAAGUCCGCCUUUGAGGUGUCGUCACGAGUUGUUGCCAGAAUUUAGAUGCCGUUCUUGUUCAUCUCAUUUGCAUGUAUGAUUAUCCACAUAUGCCCUCCUGUUCCUCUACUGCUCCGAAUAUGAUCUUUGCUGUGGCAGGGUGUUAAUUGGCUUGGCCCUGCUGUGUGUAUGUGCACUGGUGUGUGUCUGUGUGCAUGUCUGCGCCGCCACACAAAUGUUUGCGUAUGUAUAUGUCAGCGUGGUGACAGCGUGAGCAGUGUUGGAGUCUCUCUCCGUGGCCCAGCACAUGUGGCUCUCCUCCAGUUUGUGUGGCUCUCUCCUCUGUUCUGAACAUGUGCUCUGUGCCUCCUCGUCCCUGUCCGGUCCUGCUCGGCUCUCUGAGGCCCUGGAUGCAGCAAACAGGGCCUUACCAACUAUUUGAAUGCUUCCAAAGACGUGCACACCUGCAAC